rnacentral:rRNA from 1 species
UGGGAGGCUUUGAAGCGUGGACGCCAGUCUGCGUGGAGCCAACCUUGAAAUACCACCCUUUAAUGUUUGAUGUUCUAACGUUGGCCUUACCGGGGUUGCGGACAGUGUCUGGUGGGUAGUUUGACUGGGGCGGUCUCCUCCCAAAGCGUAACGGAGGAGCACGAAGGUUAGCUAAUCUGGUCGGACAUCAGGAGGUUAGUGCAAUGGCAUAAGCUAGCUUGACUGCGAGCGUGACGGCGCGAGCAGGUGCAGCAGGUCAUAGUGAUCCGGUGGUUCUGAAUGGAAGGGCCAUCGCUCAACGGAUAAAGGUACUCGGGGAUAACAGGCUGAUACCGCCCAAGAGUUCAUAUCGACGGCGGUGUUUGGCACCUCGAUGUCGGCUCAUCACAUCACAGGCUGAAGUAGGUCCCAAGGGUAUGGCUGUUCGCCAUUUAAAGUGGUACGCGAGCUGGGUUUAGAACGUCGUGAGACAGUUCGGUCCCUAUCUGCCGUGGGCGCUGGAGAAUUGAGGGGCUGCUCCUAGUACGAGAGGACCGGAGUGGACGCAUCACUGGUGUUCGGGUUGUCAUGCCAAUGGCACUGCCCGGUAGCUAAAUGCGGAAGAGAUAAGUGCUGAAAGCAUCUAAGCACGAAACUUGAGAUGAGUUCUCCUGAGACUUUAAGUCUCCUGAAGGAACGUUGAAGACGACGACGUUGAUAGGCCGGGUGUGUAAGCGCAGCGAUGCGUUGAGCUAACCGGUACUAAUGAACCGUGAGGCUUAACCUU